rnacentral:tRNA from 1 species
UAAAAAAAGAUAAGCUAAAUUUAA